GGUGCGAAGAGGAAUUGAGAGCAUAGUGCUGGCGCUAGGUCGAGAUACACAGCGCAACCAAGCGCGUGAUCUGUAAACAUGUCUCGGAAUAGCACGCUGUCCCGGUGGUUUGGGUUUCAGCUCUGGAUUCGCAGAAAAGCAAAGCAGCUUCAACUGUGUUUACCACCAGAUGCUUUAUAAAGUUGUUUAUUCGGGCAGUCUAAUGCCACCAACACCACUCAAGGGCCUGUGGAACAUGUGGAAGAAAAGCAAAUUAUAAUUUGAAUGAUUUAUUAUGCAUCAACCUGACUGCAUCCCUUUUGUCCGAAAAGAUGCCAAACUUUUUUUUGGCUGUGUGCUGUGUGAGGCAAGUGCAAAUUGAGGAAACACUUUGUUGUUUGGUGCUUGUUUUGGAGGAACGAGAGCCAGGCGAGGAAAGGGAGGAGCUGCACUUUUGAUACCCUGGCAACCGGACAGGUAGCCACGACGACCCGAUGUGCAUAGAGAAGAGAUGAGAUCGAUGAGUGUUGUAUCCUGUGCUGGAGCAGUGCAGUAAGGGAAGCAGUAGAAGGCCAGGUCCUCUGCGGCUGGAGAGUUUAGCAGAAGGGCAAGAGGUCGUGGGAACAACAGUGUGAGCAGGACCCAGAGCACUUCCACCCGAAAACAUUACAAACCAGCACAGAGGCCAGAAGAAAGAUGUGGGGAAGCUAUGAAACAAUGUGGAUGUUUUACACACACACACACACACACAUACACACACACACAUACACACACACACGCCACAAUGCUGAGGCAGGGUGUGGGACCCCGUGAGUCUCUAUGACACAGUCAUUUUGGUGGACCUGGAAACCCUGUGAAACAAAAAACGAGGUUCUGCUUCCCAUGAUUCCGUUUCCCAUGCUUACAUUCCCACGAUGACAGCGCUUAUUGUUUACAGUGUUGUUUGUUGAUUCCUUUCCUCUUUUACUGGACUGACGCUUGCACUAGGACUGUGUGUGUGUGUGUGUGUGUGUGUGUGUGUGUGUGUCCAUUUGGACAGUAUGCAUGUUUGUCUUACUUUAUCUUUGUGUUUCUCUCCAAUUCCAUUUCAGCCCUGUUGACUGAUCGCUUCCGUUUUAGUUCUGUUGUUUGUCGAGUGACUAAAAUAGACCCCAGGGCAAAAGCUCACUAUUGAAAGAGAGUCAUUAUUUCUGAAGUCAAUAAUAAUAUCAUGUUCAGGCCAUUCAGGAUGUACAACCAUGAUGAUAAACUAUGAUACUAUCCUGCGUUCCUAUUAAGUGCAAUAUCUGAUAAAACAGGCCUUACCGUGUACAGAACCAUAACAGCACUAACCUUUACACAGUGCUUUUAUUUUCCUGUGUUUCAAUAAUGUCUGAGUGUAUAAAACAAAGCCUUUAGGGACAGCGAUUUCAGAAGUGCUCAAAGUGCUGCACUGUUCUUUCUGAGCCAACAACAGUAGAAUAACAUUUUUUCAAUAGCUCCACACCUAAACAAUCCUCAUAGGCCAAGCAGCACAACAGGAGGGUUUAGAGAAGAGCAGAUUCAUGACGAGGAGCGGGAAUUCUUGCCAUACUUACUGUGGUGAGGCAAUAUAUGCAUGACUGGGUUUGAGCAAAACAAGAAGCUCAUCUUCAGCAGAACCCAUUCAGCAUAGCUAAAGCUGUAGCUGGCGGAAUGAUAGGAAAUAAUGCCUACAUUUACGCUUGUUUACAUUUAGGGAAUUUGGCAGAUGCCCUUAUCCAGAGCGACUUACAUUUAUCUCAGUUUGUACAACUGAGCAGUUGAGGGUUAAGGGCCUUGCUCAAGGGCCCAGCAGUGGCAGCUUGGCCUACAAUGCUUUUCCAAGCAGUGACUAUUAGAUCUGGCUCGAGCUCAGGUGGUUUGGGGUCAAGUCCAAGACUCCAGCUGUUGUUUUCUGUAGGAAUGUCUAGAAAGGAUUGUAGAACAUUUUAGGCGCUGUAUUACAUAUACGCCUGAGUGGAUCAUGUCUGUGUAGAUAUAUAAUUGGCUACAUCAAACAAAUUUCUUCACAUUUCCUACAGAAACAUAACCCAAUUUAGCAAUAUUGUUCCUCAGAACUGGAAUGACCAUAAAACAAACCCUGAGACAGAGCUAGUGCUGUUCCUUCAAUGCUUCGUACAGAUUGUGUUUACAUACCUCUCCACAAGCAAUGUAGCUAAUUCCUAGUUCAGCUCCAUCCUGGAAAAGCAUUACAUAACUACAGAUGUUCAUACUGUGUUUCUUGCCAUUUUCUUGUAUUUUGAAGCAUGGCAUGUUUUUUUUUUAAUUAUCUGGCUGUGCUGGGUGCUUACCAAAGAGCGACAGGAGGCCCACGUAAACACAAACAAGCAGUCUGGCCCAGACAGUAGUUUUCUAAACAGCUUUUCUCAGCCAUGUAAUACACUUGUGACAAUGCCAUUGCUUAAACAGUUAUUUUUAAUGAAUGUCAUACAUGUUUUCAGGGUUAUUUCUACUAGUAAGAAAUAAAAAAUAUCCCCUAUUGCACCUUUAAUCUCAUUUCUUUACUCCUUUUACUCACAAACAAUAGUACAGCUAUUCAACAACUUUGCAACCAGUUAUUACUUUGUCAGUCAGGGGCGUGUGUGUGUGUGUGUGUGUGUGUGUGUACGUGCAUAUGUGUGUAUAUUUAUCUUUAUUAUGGGGACUAAUUGUCUAAGUGAGAGCGUGCAGCAGUGCGUGCUAGGAAACAUGUAUGCCGGAAACCUCUGUACAAGAGGAAACAACAGACCGGUAAAUUAACAGAGACUAAGAGGGAGCCAAGGAGAGAUAGAGAGAGACAGAGAAAGGAUGGAGAGGAUGUGACUUUUAAACCCUCUUGGUCAAUACACUGUUCCGCCAAAUCUGGGAGUGUUCAGAGUGGUGUAAGGUCUCUUCCAUGCAAGUUCUCUAUGAUUAUAUAUAUAUACUAUCCUUGCUACCUUGUUGUGAGUUUUUUUUCAGUUUUGGGUUGUUAUUAGAAGUUGAGAAACAGAACACCUGUUAACAUAGUAACAGCCUCUUUAAUGUACACAAUAUGGCCAAAAGUAUGUGCACCCCGACCAUCACACCCAUACGUGGUUCUUCCCCACAAAGGCAAACUAUUGCCACAAAGUUUGAAGCACACAGUUGUAUAGAAUAUCUUUGUAUAUUGUAGCAUUACAAUUUCCCUUCACUGGAACUAAGAGUCUCAAACCUGUUCCAGCAUGACAAUGCCCCUGUGCACAAAGCGAGCUCCAUGAAGACAUGGUGUGUGAAGGUUGGAGUGGAAGAACUCGAGUGUCCUGCACAGAGCCCUGACCUCAACCCCACUGAACACCUUUGGGUUAAACAGGAACAUCAACUUCGUGCCAGGCCUUCUUGCUGGACAUCAAGAAGCCUGACCUCUUGUGCUCUUGUAGCUGAAUGAACACAAAUCCCCUCAGCCAAAAUCUAGUGGAAAGCCUUCCCAGAAGAGUGGAGUUUAUUAUAACAGCAAAGGGGUACUAAGUCUGGAAUGGGAUGUUCAACAAGUAUGUAUGAGUGUGAUGGUCAGGUGUCCACAUACUUUUGGCCAUAGAGUGAAUAUUAAAUAACAAAAACGAAAGAGUCUGAAUACUUAUUUCCCCUCACCUUACAGUUUAAAUGUAAUUGCUCUGACAUUUCUUUUCUCUAUCCACAGGGCCCACUCUACAUGCAUGCAUAAAUGAGUCAAAUCUAAACUAUUUUUAACUCUGUGAUGACGUUCUCUGUCAUCCUGAAUGGGAAACUCCCACGGCCUGGGUGCACAGUGGGUGCAGAAGGCCAAAUGUGGACUGUGUGUAAAUGCAUGAAUGGACAGGAGGGAAAUCGGCCGUUGGUGACUGAAUCUGGAACUGGGCCAGUCAUUCUCCUCUUAUAGCCUUAGGGAGAAUAAAGCUGGACCUUUGUGCUCUAAAUGUUUGUGCUGGCGUUUUAAAUAUCAUAUGCGUGCAAGAGAAAAUCCUGCAGUUAGAAUCCAGAAACAAUCCUCAGAAGCAUGAAUGUCAAAGGGUUGAAAGCAUCUUAUAUGCAUCCUAUAUGCGUUAUCCUAUAUGUGUGUUGCAGUGGAACACACUGUCCUGCUGCACAGAGCCACAUCAGGUGAUGUAAUGGAGGCUGAGGAUCUCUGGUUCAUGGAGCAGUAGAGACUGUACUGAUUUGCGCAUGUGCACACACACACACACACACACACACACACGCACAUACACACAUACACAGAGGCAGGCAGACAAAAAACAUGAUGCAACCAGACACAAUGUCAUUUAAUUUUGUUUUGCAGUGCUGAUUUAUAUCAUUAUCAUUCAGCAGGACAGUACAUGGUGUUGAGCUAAAGACUAAUAUUUAUUUACAACUACGAUGAUAAGAUUCAAAAAGGUGUGAUUAUGCCAUGAGUGUUGUUUUUGUUUGGGCUGACCUGAAUGUCUUCAAAUGCGGAGGCAGUAAUCAGUGUAACUGUCAUCAUAGUAAUAUAUGCAGUGAAGACACACUACUGGGCUAUUAAUAUACAGCACUAAAGAAGCAAUGAGAUGCCCUGACUGAUGGUUUGUCGUCUGUAUUACUGGUAUAACAGUACGUAUUUAGACUUGCUGUAAUAAUUCUGUGAUUCAAGAAAAAAAUAUUCUGAUUAUUAGAUUGUAGGUGCUUUUGGCUUGUGCUUAGGCUAUUUCUAAUGCUGUUCUAUUCCACUGUGUUCAUGUUCAUGAUGAUUUUGCAGCAACUGGCGCCAUCUGGUUUCUUAAACUGGAUCUGUUUCUGAACAUGCAGUAGGGCAGAUAUUUUGUCUCCACCAGAGGUCACGGUUGUCCCAUACACAGUGACUUGGACUGCUGAAAGUAGCUAAAAACUGAUUCAUAAUUCAAAAUAUCAAGACCAUUACAUCAUACAUCAAUAUGGUAUAGUAUAAACAAUAACAGUCACAACAUUCAAUUCAGCUUUGUACUAUUAUUAUUAUUAUUAUUAUUAUUAUUAUUAUUAUUUUUCAAAAAGUUAUAAAACAAGGCUCGUAAGAUUCUCAAUCACUGAAACCAAAAGCUUGCAUUGUCAAAUAUCCCAUUGAAUGAUCCCUGUUGAAUGAACCCUAUUAAAUGUAAUGCACUAAAAGUAGAAAGGUAGAUUAAAAUUUAAUUUAGAACAUGGAUCUUGCAGAAUUAAUGGGUUUCAUUAUGAUUUUUUUUAUUAUUAUUUCUUACAUUUAUGAAAAAUACAUCACUGCUCUUAAUCUGCCAUCAGAAGAAUUAUGGGUGAUAGAUUAUGAUAGAAUGAGAUUCAUCACAGCUGCUGACUAUAAAUAAAAUGCACAUCUCACUUAUUCCACAGAUCUGGAGUGUGUAUUACACGUUCACAGAUGUCCAUGUGCACAUCCUGGACUUGGAGCUACGUCAAGGAUGAAAGCUACCUCCAUCUAAGAGCAGGCAAUCGUGAGAGUGCGGCAGUUUGGAACUCACGGAGGAGAAAUGAAGCAGAAGAAUCGACUGUGUGGAAAGCGAGGCAGUGAAAUGGAAGAAGGAACCUCGGAGGACUUCUAAAAGCCUGAGAGUUCCACACACUGGGCCUUUAUACAGCCCCAUAGGCAUUUUGUCUUCAGCAAAUGCAGCUCUCUCAGUCCUGCAUGGCUUCUACACGGUCAGCCGCCUGCAAAGCUAAUAACAAAAACACCACAGGUGAUGCUGGGAAAUUCAGCUUUUGGCCUGGUGAUGAAGUCAGGAUGUGUCAUUUAGUUAGUAAUUUGCUUGAGUGUUUAUAUCAGUCUGACAGAGUAUGAUGUAGGUGCAUAUGUUUGAUAUGAGCUAGGACAAUUUUUGAAAUGAAUUUUUGAACAUUUUUUAUUUAAGGGGUAGUUGAUGAUAUAUAGUGUGUGGUUUGACCCUGGUGCAGACAGUGUCUCUGCUGCAAUGACCACUCUGUGCUCUUAUCAGUAAACGUUCUUUGAGGUUCAUUACUACACACACACACACACACACACGGACACACACAGCAGAUCCCUGUCAUCUGCCAGCCCAUGCUGAAAACACAACUGACAGGCUGGCCCUUUUAAGGAAGCAAGCAAAACAAAUGUCACACUUAUCUGUCUCUCACCCAUGCCUUCGUCCUUUUCAAGCCAAGUGCUCUCUCACUGUCCCUGUUCUCAGAGUUAUUCCUGGGUGCUGACCCGCCAUGCCUCGACUGGCUUCCAGAGAAGAGGUGACGGCAAUUAGACAUGGGAGCAAUUAUUUCACAAACAUUCUGUGAUUAUGUCAAAAUCAUUACAGUGAGUUUGGUGGGAUAAUGUUAAUGAUGUAGAACAUUAUAGAGCUACACAGGAGGGAGUAUUGCUGCUUCACAGAUCCAGGGUUCGAUCCUGAGCUCAGGUUACUAUCUGUGCUGAGUUACUCAUGUCCAUGAGAGAUUCCUCCAGGUUGUCUGGUUUCCUCCCACCUCCCAAAAAACAUCCCAGUAGGUGGGUGUGUCAAAGUGUAUACAUGGUGCCAUGAGAAAUCCAUCCCAUCCAGUGUAUGCUCCUGCCUCACACCCAGUCUUCACAGGAUGGACUCCGGGUCCACCGCAAACCUGACCAGGAUAAAGCGACUACUGAAGAUGCAGGAAUCUGCAUGUAAAUCUGGUGUAAAUCCACACAUAAAUCCAAAACUGUGAUUGAAACUUAAGCUUUGCAAUGUACACAGUGCUUUGAUUUUGAUCAAAUCUUGAUUUGUGUACUUGCAACACAAACUAUGUUUAUGAAUCACUGGUUACGCUGGUAAAACACAUAAUUAAAACUUUUUUUUUUUUUGCAAAACUUUUUACUUUUCAAGUUGAUGCAUUCAGGGAUGCAAUCCAAGCUGAUCCAGCUGUGGCAAUUAAACAAAUUCUCAAAACUGUGCAUGCGGAAAGAACAGAAAAAAAUGUGUUAUUAAAUGUACACCUGUAUAAGGCUUGGUGCAGCACAUAUAAUCUUCCCUUUCCUUUUAUAAACAUAAACAGUUUUUGGUGUUACACAUGAUGACUACAAAGUAAGCUAUACAUGCACAAGAGAACAUGAGAGUAUAUAACCACACAUUAAGAUUCAUGUGGUGUAUGUGAUGGUUUAGUGACCAUGGUUCAUAAUUUGUCCCACAUCUACUGUUCUGCUCUUCUACUCACACAAAGACAUGCAAUCUGAGAGUGUAACAAUAACUACAAGCGUGCUUUUUCUCUACCCUGUGAUCCUUUGAUGUUCAUGACUGUUUCUUUUCCCUAAAAGGACUGAGAGCAUUCGAUCUCUUAUGAAAAAGACCCUUUUAAAUCAUCAAACUAAUAAACAACUCACAGGCUCGCUUGACCGUAAAGCCUGGUGAGUCACAGCCUGAUCUUCCACACUGAUAAGCCAAAUUGACUCGACAAGUUUCAACUGCCAGCUCCUUCAUAUUUGCUCCUCGUCCUACUGUUUCAUUUGCUCCGCCGCUGAACAAUAACAGUUAUUGAGCUGUGAUUGAGGCCCCCUGAUCUCCUGAUGUGCUGCAAAGUAAACAGGACAGCUUUAGCUCAUCUCUGCAGCUUUACACUCCAUAAAAGGUCUUGCUGCACUCACCCUAAUCUCAUACUCUUUACAUUGUUGUUCUGGGAGAGCGGGUGCUUAUUUUCUUCCAUACAUGCCCAUGAGCUAACAAUGUCUUUGGAAAAUAAUAUUCAGUCAUUAGAUACAGUAUGUUUCUGUGAAAGUCAGUACUGGAUAUGUUUUUGUACCCAUAUCAUUAACAUUGUAUUAAUCCAUUAGAUAUACUGUGUGUGUGUUUUUUUUAAUUCAUUACUAGGAUACAGAUUUAAGGUUACACUCAGAGGUUUUUGGCAUGGAGGCAUACUGACCUCUUAAA